rnacentral:rRNA from 1 species
AUUGAACGCUGGCGGCGUGCUUAACACAUGCAAGUCGAUCGGUAACAGGUGUAGCAAUACAUGCUGACGAGAGGCGGACGGGUGAGGAAUAUUUGGGAAUCUGCCCAUCAGCGGGGGACAACCCGGGGAAACCCGGGCUAAUACCGCAUACGCUCUACGGAGGAAAGCCGGGGACCGCAAGGCCUGGCACUGAUGGAUGAGCCCAAAUCGGAUUAGCUAGUUGGCGGGGUAACGGCCCACCAAGGCGACGAUCCGUAGCUGGUCUGAGAGGACGAUCAGCCACACCGGAACUGAGACACGGUCCGGACUCCUACGGGAGGCAGCAGUGGGGAAUAUUGGACAAUGGGGGAAACCCUGAUCCAGCGACGCCGCGUGGGUGAAGAAGGCCUGCGGGUUGUAAAGCCCUUUCGGUAGGGACGAAAGCCCUUGCUCUAACAAGGCAGGAGGUUGACUUAACCUACAUAAGAAGCACCGGCUAACUCUGUGCCAGCCGCCGCAGUAAUAC